ensembl:snRNA U4 U4 spliceosomal RNA
AGCUUUGUGCAGUGGCAGUAUCGUAGCCAAUGAGAUUUAUCCAAGAUGCAAUUGUUGCUAAUUGAAAACUUUUCCCAAUAGCCCACCAUGACGACUUAAAAUAUAGCCGGCACUGGCAAUUUUUGGCAGUCCAUAUGAGGA